rnacentral:lncRNA from 1 species
UUUUUGUAACAAGAAACCCAUCAGCCUUUGAUCAUCUGCCUUGCUUCUGGUACAGGACAACGUUUCUCAACCCCAGGAACACUUCAGAUGAACAAAAGCGAAGACCAAAACUUGUCCUGACAGUACCCUCUAGAGUCUACCUGCUCACCCAUAAAACAAAGUCAUGUUUAAAACCCAAAACAACAACAAAAACCCCAACAGUGGUGUGUGAAAUAGGAACCUCCUCCUUUAAAAAAGUCAGAUAUACACCUAAGCAGAGAUCUUAACGCUGCUAACAGUUGAAUGUUUCAUAAUCUUACACAGUUUUGCAUGAUCAGUUACACAGAUUCCAUGGCAAUUAACACCUUAGUUACAAAUUGGAAUGCAAAGGAACUUAGCUUAUCAUUUUCUUACCACUGAUAGGACAAUGAAUGGCUUCACGGUAGCAGGGAGUUCUGAAAGCCUCCUGUGUGUACAAUGACUGUUUCUCAGAAGACAUUCACCUUACUGCAGGCAACAGCGAGCAAUAUAAAAAUGCACAGAUGUUUCUAAGCCAUAUCAUUAAAGAUGAUGAAGCUUAAGGGAAGAUUAAUGAAAUUCACCAUAUACAUAUGCAUUCCUAUUAUAUAUUUAUAGGGAUUGCUUCCUUCCUCCCCACAAACAAGAAACAAUUUCUUGUAUGUUGAACAAGACCACUCUAUGGCAAAGAUCAAGAGCUUGACAGAAGCUGCAUCUGCAGAUCUUGGUUUACUCUGUACAACUGUAUCGGCCAUAAACUGCAGGGUUUCAGUAGCAGGGGGCUGCAAGGCUGACAGAGUAUCUCCACUUGGAAGGGACCCAUAAAGAUCAGAGUCCAACUCCCUGCUCCUCAUAGGACUACCUAAAACUAAACCAUAUGACUAAGAGCGUCGUCCGGACACUCCUUGACAUACAGCAGGAGGUUACAAACUGCCCCGUGCUGGUCACAACAGGUUCUAGCCUGCACUGAAGUGCAUGCAAACAAUCCAGUGCAUGCCAGAACCUCAGCCAGAGGUGCGCACGGUGCCUCUGCUCAAACAUGUUUAAGGAAGAGUGGCGGCUGCUAGCAAGAGGUGCAAGGAGACACAUAAGGAGAAGAUACUCCUAAGGAAACACAGCUGGAAACGUGGAUAAACUGAAGAGCUGCCCUUGGGAAAACAAGUGGAGAAGACACUGAGGACAUGUAUAGACACACACUCACAGAAGGACACAUCCAUGCCUGGGAGAUUCACUUCUGAGGGGACUUUGGCCUGUAGCUAAGCCAUGCCAGAGCAGGUACACCUCCGAAGUGCCUGAGGCCCACAGGAGAGCCAAGCUGGAACAGACACAUCCCUGAAGGGACUGUGUGGUGCCACUAUGAGCAGUGACACCAACCAGCCCAGAGCAGCAGAGGACACCCACUGAGAAAUGAAGAGCGGCAGACAAGCCAGUGUGCCAAUGAGCCCAACCUCCUGAGGGAUCUGUCACCUCGCUACGAGAGCUGGCACGGGCUGAACGCAGCUCUCAGUGAAAGCAAGGGAGUAGGAGACCACAAAGGCAGGGAGGAGAGGUGUUAGCCUUAAGCUGAGACUGAGGAAGGGGAAGGACAGAGGUUUCCUUAAGCGUUAAAGUAAUUUCUUGUUAUCUUUUUCCCCCCCAAUACCUGAAUCAGUGAUUAGAGGUUUGUCAAAGGGCAAUAAAUUAAAUUCAGGAAAACCAACACAAGUCAAUUGUUUUGCCUGUGAUAAGCAAAAAUAAGGAUUUUAGACAUGUAUCUCAAGCUUCCCUUACAUCAUCAAUCCUCUCAACCUCAUGACAAUCGUAUCAAUAUUUUCCUGCAAUCACUUGGUUUCAUGUAAAUUAACAUCAAAAAGCCAAGUGCUACAAAAUCAGUGGAGCAACAUUUGUUGGACUUCCAGGACAAUGUCGUAAAAUGGGGUAAAACAGUAAUAAGAAAUAUUAUAAAGUUACUAUUCAUGCUAAGUCAUUAAAAGAGGACAUGGUUCUAUAAUAUGAUCUACUGGACCUGUUAUAAAACCUUUAAAGUGUCUCUCGCAGUACAUUUUAUUUUAAAGCUUUAUUUCAAAGUAGUCUAACUGCAAAUAGGAGUAAUGUUUAACUUUGAAAUGUCCCGUAUAAAAGUCAUUCCAAGCUGGUAAAAGAAACAGUUCUGCUGGCAGCUCUGUAGGAUAGUCUGGGUUUAACAGAAAGAGGUUUUUUGCUUGACCGUGUUUUUCAGCCUGGUGUCUCUGACCAGCCUUUCUGAUGGUUCAAUGGGAAGAGGCAGCCUUAACCUUUGUAUGCAACGCUGAAGUGACAAUUCGAAAGGGGUUGAGAACUAAUGUAAUACACAGAAUCAUUCUUGAAAUGAGUAUGAGAAUACCUUCCCUCAGGUGUGAUGAUGGGACUUGCAGAAAUGACACCCUGUAUGUAGUAAGGCCUUGCAGAAUGGAAAAAUAGGGCCACUGAGUGCAAGAACCCUCUUUCUUCUACACUCAUGUAAACAGGCAAGCAUUAUAGUUAUUUUUUUUCAGUAUUAAAAAAGACAAUAUUAGCAGUGUGGAAACAAACC